rnacentral:rRNA from 1 species
AGAGUUUGAUCCUGGCUCAGGAUGAACGCUGGCGGCGUGCUUAACACAUGCAAGUCGAACGGUGAAGGAGAGCUUGCUCUUUGGAUCAGUGGCGAACGGGUGAGUAACACGUGAGCAAUCUGCCCCUGACUCUGGGAUAACAGUUGGAAACAGCUGCUAAUACCGGAUAUGAGACGUGACCGCAUGGUCGACGUUUGGAAAGAAUUUCGGUCAGGGAUGAGCUCGCGGCCUAUCAGCUUGUUGGUGAGGUAAUGGCUCACCAAGGCGUCGACGGGUAGCCGGCCUGAGAGGGUGACCGGCCACACUGGGACUGAGACACGGCCCAGACUCCUACGGGAGGCAGCAGUGGGGAAUAUUGCACAAUGGGCGAAAGCCUGAUGCAGCAACGCCGCGUGAGGGACGACGGCCUUCGGGUUGUAAACCUCUUUUAGCAGGGAAGAAGCGAAAGUGACGGUACCUGCAGAAAAAGCGCCGGCUAACUACGUGCCAGCAGCCGCGGUAAUACGUAGGGCGCAAGCGUUAUCCGGAAUUAUUGGGCGUAAAGAGCUCGUAGGCGGUUUGUCGCGUCUGCUGUGAAAACUGGAGGCUCAACCUCCAGCCUGCAGUGGGUACGGGCAGACUAGAGUGCGGUAGGGGAGAUUGGAAUUCCUGGUGUAGCGGUGGAAUGCGCAGAUAUCAGGAGGAACACCGAUGGCGAAGGCAGAUCUCUGGGCCGUAACUGACGCUGAGGAGCGAAAGGGUGGGGAGCAAACAGGCUUAGAUACCCUGGUAGUCCACCCCGUAAACGUUGGGAACUAGUUGUGGGGUCCAUUCCACGGAUUCCGUGACGCAGCUAACGCAUUAAGUUCCCCGCCUGGGGAGUACGGCCCGCAAGGCUAAACUCAAAGGAAUUGACGGGGACCCGCACAAGCGGGCGGGAGCAUGCGGAUUAAUUCGAUGCAACGCGAAGAACCUUACCAAGGCUUGACAUAUACGAGAACGGGCUAGAAAUAGUCACUCUUUGGACACUCGUAAACAGGUGGUGCAUGGUUGUCGUCAGCUCGUGUCGUGAGAUGUUGGGUUAAGUCCCGCAACGAGCGCAACCCUCGUUCUAUGUUGCCAGCACGUAAUGGUGGGAACUCAUGGGAUACUGCCGGGGUCAACUCGGAGGAAGGUGGGGAUGACGUCAAAUCAUCAUGCCCCUUAUGUCUUGGGCUUCACGCAUGCUACAAUGGCCGGUACAAAGGGCUGCAAUACCGUAAGGUGGAGCGAAUCCCAAAAAGCCGGUCCCAGUUCGGAUUGAGGUCUGCAACUCGACCUCAUGAAGUCGGAGUCGCUAGUAAUCGCAGAUCAGCAACGCUGCGGUGAAUACGUUCCCGGGUCUUGUACACACCGCCCGUCAAGUCAUGAAAGUCGGUAACACCUGAAGCCGGUGGCCCAACCCUUGUGGAGGGAGCCGUCGAAGGUGGGAUCGGUAAUUAGGACUAAGUCGUAACAAGGUAACC